rnacentral:lncRNA from 1 species
UAUAUAUACAAAUUUUUUUUUAUAAAUAGCUAUUCUUUUACUUUUUCUCUCUAAUAUUCAAAAAUAUAUAUUAUACCUUCUCAAUAUUUCAAGUUGUUGCAUUAAUCCCCUUCCAUUAGCGUUUCAUUAUUAUACUUCGUUUAUUUUUUAUAAUUUAUAUCAAAAAUAUUUUUUAUAAUAACAAAAAUAUAUUAAAAAAUUAUUAUUUUUCUUACAAAAAAAGAUAAUUUGAUCAUUUGUUCUCUCCAUUAAAGCCAUACCACUCUGAAAAUAUUUUUAAAAUUUUAAAAGAACAAAAUAUAAUUUUUUUUUAAAAAAAAUAUCUACAAGAAAAUUUUCUAUAUUUUAACUUAACUUUUUUCAACUUACAUGAAAUAAAAUCCUCUAUCCUUUGAUUUAUCUGAUAUAUUUUUUUAAGAAAAAACUUCAAAUACUACCCAUAUGAUUUCGUACUUUCUCACUUUAGUAUCAUGUGGUUUAAAGUGUAUCAAUUUAGUACCUUGUGAUUUUAUUUUUUUCUUUUUAUUAUCCAUUCCACUAAUUUUUUUUCGUUAAAUCAGUGACAAAAUUAAAACUAAAUGAUACUAAAGUGAAUAUUCAAUAAACCUAGAAGUGGUAUCUGAAGUUUUUUGUCUAUAAUUUAACAAAAUAUUAAUGGAGGAGCUGACGAAAAGAAAAAAAAUAAAGCUAUAUGGUACUAAUUUGAUACAUUUUAAAUUAUAAGAUACUAAAGUUAGAAAGUGUGAAACUACCGGAAUGGUAAGGGCUUGUUUGGUUCAUCCAUUUUGGGUAUGGAAUGGGAAUCGAUUUGAUCAAAUCCGGUUAAUUUUGUUUGGUUCGCAUGAAUCGGUUUGGGAUUUCUAUUCCGGACUGGAAUGGGAAUGACCCAUUAGCCUUCAACUUGAUUCCGGUCUUCUAGUCCGGAUUGAGAUUUCAUUCCAAAAGUCCACUAAGUUCUCGAAGCCCAUGUGACCAUCUCACCCUCAUUCUUUUCACCCCUUUCUCAUAAAAAAAAAAAGAAAAAAAAGAAAAAAAAGAAAAGAAAACCUAUCCUCUCUCAAAACCCUAUCCCUAACCCACAUUAAUAAAAGUUUUUAAAAAUAAAUUUAAUAUUUUUUUUGGAAAAUGUAUUAGAGAAUAGUAUUAUAUUUUUCAUAAAUUUUAAAUAAUAUAAAUUUAUAUUUGAGAGUAAAAUUAGUAUUAUAGUAUCUUAUAAUUUUUUUAAUUUAUACGAACCAAACAAUAAAAUAUAAAUAACUCAUUCAAAUUCCCAAUUCACAAAUAAACCAAACGUCUUAGAAGAGUGAGCCAUUCCAAUUACCAUUCCAAUUCAUUUCCAUUUUAUUAUUCAUUUCAAUUCCAUCCUUAAACCAAACAAGCUUAAAGUUUACCAUUUCUAAUCAUAAUUUUGAGAAUUUGGCCCCCCGCGUCGGUCCAAAUAAUGGUGGGACCCAACUAAAUUAUUCUCUCACCUGAUUGGUUCUUUUGGUUGUGGGGCCCAGUUCUUAUAGGAUAGUCACUAGCUAGCCAACAAAUUUCCGUGUUAUGACUCACUACUUUGUCCCCAUUUGUUUAAUUCACCCCCUCCUAAUUAAACUUACUUAGGAACUUACUUAGGAACUAAUUAGAAAUUAUAUAAAUGUCGUAAUAUAUAAAUAGAGAGACGUGACCACGUGAAUGCCUACCAACAAACAUUCAUGUCGAGCCCUUCUCUCACUCUCCAUAGACGUAGUAGUAGCCUUCCCAUUGUCUCCAAAGUCCAAACCUAUAUUUAUAAAAUAUAUAUAUAUAUAGAGAGAGAGAGAGAGAGUCCGGCAAUUAUACUAUUAUGAGUACGAUCACUCUCGUACUCAUAAGUUAUUUUCGAUGAUAAAGCUUCUGAAUCGACGAUCUAUACCGUUAAACAUUAUCUAGAGCAUUUGAAAUAUCUAGAAAUCAAAUUUCAUAAUUUUUCGAUAUCAUUUACCUUUCGAUCAAAAGCUCACAAAAUUGACAAUUUUUAACAGCCGGUAUGGAAUACUUGCUAGUUUAAUGGUGCAAAAGAAUCCGAAUAGGUUGAAUUUUUAUAGAAAAUUCUAUUCACUAUCUAGAUAAAGAUCAGUAACUCUGAUCUUAAAUUGAAAGAUCUGAUCAUCCAUUUUUAAGACAACGUUCGAUUUUGAUCGUUCAUUUUAUGCCCGCUUGAUGGACUUUAUUAUGAUUUCGAAAAAUUACGAAAUUUAUUUUCUAAAAGUUUCAAAUAUUCUAGAUCAUAUUUAACGAAGUGAAUCGUCGAUUCGAAAGCUUCAUCAUCAAAACAACUUAUGAGUAUGAAGUGCUCUAUACUCAUAAUAGAUUAAUAGUAUAGUAACCCUACUCUCUCUCUCUCUCUAUAUAUAUAUAUAGAAUUAGGCUAGUAUACUAUCGGUAGUACAGAGGCCUUUGUGCUAUCAAGUUGUUUUCAAUGAUGUGGCUUCCAAAUAUGUAAUUUUAUAUUUUAUAUAUAUAUAUGUAUGAAUAUAUU